UUGGAGGCCUAAAUCAAUAAUCAGUUCUCAAAAUAAGGUAGAAAUGCGAUUUCAAGUCGAUUCCGAAAAUUUCAUGCACACAUUUUGAAAACUGAUUGAGUUGUUACAAUUUUAAUAAGAUUUAUUCCGCGAAUAUCGCAAACCAAGAUACGGGCAAUUUAGUUAAUAAUAAUUUUUGUAGUCUUUUCGCCUUAUAUUAGUAUCCACAUUUAAACAGAUAUAAAUCUAUUGAUUACAGAGAAUAUGAAGUUUAGGCUAACCUUUCAUAUGACUUGUAAGUCUCAUUCAAAAAUAUUGAUAUUUGACCAAUUUAUGGGACGAAAUCUACCAAAUUUGGUGCGUAUGCCCAAAUAUGGGCAUAUGGUUUUUGGCUCAUAACUCAGUCAUUUUUGUCCAAUCUUGAUAAAAUUUCAUAUAUGAGUUCAGGAGACUACUAGCUACAAGUAGAGCACCAUACAUCUGGGUUUUGGGCAUUUCUAAGUAAGUAAGGGGAUUAUUUCCAAGCUUUGCUAAAUUCGGUUGUGUAACUGGUGUUUAUUAUUUCAAUUUUCAGAAUUUGAGACAUGAUUUACUUUUCAGUCGAUUUCUUUUCGAUUAUUGAUCACUUUAUCUGAACUCGUUUGCCCCAUUUGAUAUGUAAGUUAUUGAAUAUUUAUCAAUUAUUUGUUUUCAAAGAAAA